rnacentral:lncRNA from 1 species
UUUUUUUUUUUUUUUAGGAUUUUAUUUAUGUAUGUGAAGUGGGGAGGGGCAGAGGGAGAGGGAGAGGGAGAACCUCAAACAAGACUCCCUACUGAGUGUGGAGCCCAAUUCAUGGCUUGAACCCAGGACCCUGAGAUCAGGACCUGAGCCAAACCCGAGAGUUGGAUGUUCAACUGACUGAGCCACCCAGGCACCUUUUUUUUUUUUUUUGGAUUUACUUACUGAAUUGAAAGAGAGAGAGAGAGAAUAGAGGGAGGGGCAGAGGGAGAGGAAGAGAGAAACUCAAGCAGACUGUGCUGAGCAUGGGGUCUAAAGUGGGGCUCGACAAUGGGGCUUGAUCCCACGACUCCAAGGUCAGACUUGAACCUAAAUCAAGAGUCGGCUGCUUAGCUAACAGUGUCACCCAGGUGCCCCAAUAGUUGUACUUCUUUAUAUCAGUAGUAUCUCAGAUAAGAUGAAGAAAGUGAUGGCUCAGCAAAUUUAGGCUUUCUCUGAAGGUGACCCUGGGAUUUAGAAACAGAGCUAGGAUGAGAACCCUGAUCUUACUCCCAGUGUGUGACUGUGCUCCUGACUAUGCUCCCUUUUCUUUCUUAAUAAUCCCGCAUGUCAAAAACUUCAUAUACUUCAUGGUAAGAUUGCUUUUCUCUUUCAGGUACAGUAACUCCAUUUCAGGAUUGGGAAAAGAGCACUUAGGAAACCUGAAGAAUUUAUGAUCAGUGUGGGAUACAGAAUCUUUCACUGUUGAUCCGAGUUCUGUAAAAGCAAGAGGACUCCUGAUGGGAAUCUGGAAUCCACCUGAUACAGAGGAAGUGUUGUGGAAUGACCAACUGGAAGAAGUCAGCUUGACCUCUGGAAUACUAAGAUAUGAAGGAAAAGAAGUCCUCAGCAAAGAAACACCAGCGUUUGCCUUAACAGCAGGGAGGACAAGAAGGACAUUUGUAGCAAGAGAGAAAUUCCUCCAAUUGGAGUCAAGAGAAACAAAGGAGGAAUGAAGCAAAAGGAGAGGUCAGAAGAUUCAGAGUGAGAAGGAUUUUAUCUACCACUGCUUUUUUGAAGAUAAAGAAAGAAGUCCAUCAGGCCAGGAAGUACAGGCAACCCCUGGAAGCUAACUGACUGCAACCAAUAGCUAGCAUGGAAACAGAAAUCUCCAUCCUAUAACCACGUAAAACUGAAUUGCGCCAAUAACCUGAAGGAGCUUGAAAGUGGAUUUAACCCAGAACCUCUAGAAAGGAGUUCAACCCUGCCAAUACCUUGAUUUUGGCUCCAUGGAACCAGAAACAGAGAAUCAUCUGAGUCGUAUUGUGCCCAGACUUCUGACCUACAGAAGAACCAUAAGAUAAUAAAUCUGCAUUGUGUAAGGACACUAAAUUUAUGGUAUUUGUUACUAAAACAAUAAAAAAAUGAAUAUAACAUCCAUUUUACAAUAUCAAAUCUAGGAAAUCGAUAUUGGCACAGCAUAUGUGUAUAGUUCUAUGACAUUUUAGCAUAUGUAAAUUUAUGGAACCACCGAUGCAAUAAAGAUAUCAUUACAAAGAUCUCCCUCACAUUACCCUUUUAUAGUCACAUUUCCUUUACCUGAUCCAUUCCUAAUCCUUGGCAUCUACUUAUCUCUUCUUCUGCUCUAUAAUUUUUAAAUUUUUAAAAAUGUUAUAUAAACAGAAUCACAUGUAUGUGACUGAAGAUGGUCUCCCCCCCCGCAACGGAGCAUUAUGCCCUUAAUAACCAUCUAAAUUGUUACACGUAUCCAUUUUUUCUUUUCUUUUCCUUUUCUUCCUGUGAUAUAAAACAUGCAACAUAAACCUAAAUGCAACCAUCAUAACUAUUUUUAAGUGUAGAGUUCAGUAAUGUUAAGUAUAUUCUCAUUGUUGUGAAAGAGAUCUAUUAAACUUUUCAUCUUGUCUUGCAAAUCUGAAACUUUAUACCCAUCAAUUAACAAUUUCCUCCCCCUCCCCAGCCCCAUUUUACUUUCUAUUUCCAUGAAUUCGACUCAUUUGGUACCUUAUAUAAAUCGAAUCAUGCAAUGUUUGCCUUUUGUGACUAGCUUAUCUAAGCAUGAUGUCCUCAAGUUUCCUCCAUGUUGUAUUUUUUAUUUUGAGUACUAUUUUAUUUUUAUUCAUUCAUACUAUGAAUACACCACAGUUUGUUUAGCCAUUCACCCAUCAAAGGACAUUUUGGAUGUUUCCAGGUUUCAGCUAUCACAAAUACAACUGAUACAAAUAUUUGUGUACAAGCUUUUGUGUGGACAUAAGUUUUUAUUUCUUUGGGAUAAAUGUCCAACAGUGCAAUUGCUAGGUCAGAUGGUAAAUGAAUGAAUGUUUUAUUUAAAAAAAAAUUUUUUUAAAAUUUUUUAAGAUGCUUAUUUAUUUAUUCAUGAGAGACACAGCAAGAGAGAGGCAGAGACACAGGCAGAGGUAGAAGCAGGCUCCCUGCGGGGAGUCCGAUGUGGGACUCGAUCCCGGAUCCCAGGAUGACGCCCUGGGCUGAAGGCAGAUGCUAAACCACUGAGCCACCCAGGCAUCCCUGAAUGAAUGUUUUAAAGAAACAAACUAUUUUCCAGAGUAGUUUACAUUUUACAUUCCUACCAGCAAUGUGUGAGGAAUCCAGUAUCUCCACAAAAAUUAGUAUUUUCACUUAAAAAAAUCUUCAGCUGUUCUCAUGGAUGUGUAGUGAUAGUGCAUUGUGAUCUUGUGAUCUUAUUUACAUUUCCCUAGUGGCUAGUGAUAUUGAACAUCUUUUCAUGUGGUUAUUUGCCAUCUGUACAUAUUCUUUGAUGAAAUGCUUCAUCAUGUCUUUUGCCCAUUUUCUAAUUUGAUUAUAUGCUUUUUGUUGUUGUUUGCCAUCAAUUUUUUAUAGUUCCUUAAAUGUUCUAGAUAUAGUUCUUUGUGAGAUAUGUGGUUUGCAUAUAUUUUUUCCUAGUCUUUAGUUUGCUAUUUCAAACUCUUAACAGGGUAUUUCCAGAACAAAAUUUUAGUUUUACUGAAGUCUAAUUUAUCAAUAUUUUCUUUAUGAGUUGUACUUUUGAUUUCAUGUCCAAGAAAUCCUCACAAAAGGUCCUAAAAUUUUUCUCUUAUACUAUGUUCUAAAAGUCUAUUGUGGGAUCCCUGGGUGGCUCAGUAGUUUAGCGCCUGCCUUUGGCCCAGGGCAUGAUCCUGGAGUCCCAGGAUCAAGUCCCGCAUUGGGCUCCCUGCAUGGAGUCUGCUUCUCCCUCUGCCUGUGUCUCUGCCUCUCUCUCUCUCUCUCUGUCUCUCAUGAGUAAAUAAAUAAAUAAUCUAAAAAAA